AACGAACGCUGGCGGCAUGCCUAACACAUGCAAGUCGAACGAAGUCUUCGGACUUAGUGGCGCACGGGUGCGUAACGCGUGGGAAUCUGCCCUUGGGUGCGGAAUAACUUCUCGAAAGGGAUGCUAAUACCGCAUAAUGUCGUAAGACCAAAGAUUUAUCGCCCAAGGAUGAGCCCGCGUAAGAUUAGCUAGUUGGUGGGGUAAAAGCCUACCAAGGCGACGAUCUUUAGCUGGUCUGAGAGGAUGAUCAGCCACACUGGGACUGAGACACGGCCCAGACUCCUACGGGAGGCAGCAGUGGGGAAUCUUGCGCAAUGGGCGAAAGCCUGACGCAGCCAUGCCGCGUGAAUGAUGAAGGUCUUAGGAUUGUAAAAUUCUUUCACCGGGGACGAUAAUGACGGUACCCGGAGAAGAAGCCCCGGCUAACUUCGUGCCAGCAGCCGCGGUAAU
rnacentral:rRNA from 1 species